rnacentral:lncRNA from 1 species
GCUUAAUCGCGGGCAGCAACCUCGCUCCGUAAGGCACCACAUCGCCUCUUUGGCCGCUUUCCAGCGCUGUUUUGCUUUGCGCCGGAGGAUGACGUCUUUAACAGGCAAACGCGCUGGGAAACGGCGAAAGGCUGAAAACACGUUAGAUGGGCUUUGCACGCAGUACCGGAUUUCGGAUAUCCACCUUCCACACGUGUGUUUCGUGAAUUCUCUGCUGUGCUCUCUGCAGCCCGUAGCCGCACGAGCAUGUUUAAGUGGGACACCUCAUUGCUUUCUUUAAAGACACUUACAAAAGAAUUGCAGGAUUGGCUUUCCAUCCAGGAACUUCUCCCGCUAUGUCCAAAGCAGGUUUUUCCGUCAGAGUUUCCCCUCCUCUUUCCAGACAAGCUGCUGAGGAUGGCCACAGCAGAGAGCAGAAGAGGGCAAUUGGCCGAUGUCCCUGCCUCCCGCCCAGGAAAAGCAGCCCGCGGCUUGCCCGUAAGUUGUCUCCUAUCUGUGUAGUAGCCAGGGCUUUCACCUGAGUUUGGAAGCUCCGGCUGGAGCUGGAAUAAUCCCUGGAAUAAUCCUGCCUUCCCCUGUCCCUGCCAGGGCUCAGGCUGCUCCCUGGAGCUGCGGCAGUCUGCCCGGCCCGGCCGCGGGCUGAGCUGCGUCCUGGAGAGGGAGCCACACUCCAAGCUCUGACCGCCCCGGACCUGCUGGCGGGGGAGAAGAGGCUCCUUUUCCCCCUCUCACCGCCCUGGAGAUGGACUCUUUCCCCCGCCUCACGCCUCACGCCUCACGCCUCACGCCCGGUGGAGCACGUGUGUGCCGGCGGUGCAGUUCGCGGGGGCCCGGGUGCUGCGAGGUGCCUGGAGCGGGGUUUUCCCCCGGGUGGUGCUGGUCGGGGGCGGCCGCUUUGACUUCCCCCUCCUGGGCUGGGGCAGCGCGACUGAGACCCGGUGCGGCUUGGGGGUGGGUUUUUUUUUUCUUUCUUUCUUUCUUUUUAAUUUAGAAAGAAAGCAGACUUCAUCUAGAUGUCUUAAAAGCAUACACACAGCGUAUCUGGUGCUACAUUUGUCAAAGUUAUUGUUCAGAUCUAAGCAGAGCAUCAAGCUACAUGUGAAGAAAGAUUCUCAGAUAACAGUACAAACUCUCUGGGAACAAGAACUGUACUGUGUAUGUAUGUUCAGCACCCAACAAGUGAAGGUGCCUACUCAAUUCCGUUUCAGACAACAAAAUAUAAAGUGGAGGUAG